GCGAUGAUAAGUGUAUGGUUCAUUUGCUAGGCUCAUAAUCUAGACUUGUAGGUUCGAAUCCUGCCAUCGCUC
rnacentral:tRNA from 1 species